rnacentral:rRNA from 1 species
UACGUAGGGUGCAAGCGUUGUCCGGAAUUAUUGGGCGUAAAGAGCUCGUAGGCGGUCUGUCACGUCGGCUGUGAAAUCCCGAGGCUUAACCUCGGGCCUGCAGUCGAUACGGGCAGACUAGAGUUCGGUAGGGGAGACUGGAAUUCCUGGUGUAGCGGUGAAAUGCGCAGAUAUCAGGAGGAACACCGGUGGCGAAGGCGGGUCUCUGGGCCGAUACUGACGCUGAGGAGCGAAAGCGUGGGGAGCGAACAGG